AGCCACAAACUGCAGGGAGACUGCAGGUUCAUAAGGGAGAAAUCAAGGAGAAGCAGUUAACAUUGCUACUAAUUUAGUUGUAGGACAAAGCUCCCAGACAGCUUUGUGAGUAGGGGCAGGUGGAUGGGACUGCUGCUCUUGAAGGCUAUCCACUCAUGUGGAUACAAGACAUGUGUUGAAGAUGUUAGCAGCUUUUGCACUAAUGGCUCCGAAAACCCUCACAGAGGUACAAAGGCAUUAAACAACUGGGACAACUCUACAACUUGCACUGGCUUCAAAAGUCUGGGAGAGAAAGAUGUGUGAAGAAGGAAGCUGCCAAGUUCCUAAAUGGGAGCUGUGACUUUAGGCAAUAAAAUUCCACUUCCCCCUUUUUGAAUCUCCUGCCUUGCAAGGUAAAUUCAAAGGACUGGCAGUGGAUUUUGAAAGCUGUUGUAUAGAAAGAGGAAAAAAUACAGCUGUAAUUCAAAGUGAGUACUAAAGCAAGGAAAUUCAGACACCAAACUGUGCUCUUAAUGGAGAACUAAUGGAUGUUAAUUAACCACCAAUUGAAAAAAACAUAUUUACUGUAGUUUAACAGCUCUGCAAA